GGGGGUUUAGCUCAGUUGGUAGAGCAUUCGCUUAGCAUCCUUUCUAAUCUGCGAAAGGUCGCGUGUUCGACUCAUGCAGUCUCCA
rnacentral:tRNA from 1 species